GCGUUGCCUUCCCCGUCCAUUUCCCUCUUCAUACACUUUUCUUUUUCUGGGGUUUUUUCCAUCGUCUAUAAAUAUAUACAUACGUACCUGCAUGUGAGAGUUUACCAGGCUUAUAGCUGCCGCAAACCUUCUAUGGCAGUCUCCACCCUCCACAACCUCCAUGCAGUCACCGUCCCUGUCUCUGAACCUCCACACCCACGGCGUUAGACCUCGCCUGUAGCCUAGUUGCACGACCUCACCAUCACAAAAAACCCACGCCCGUGUGCGCUCAGCGAACGGAAGCCACCCUGUGCGAGUUUUGCCCCUGCACGACGGAAGCCACUGGCCAUUGCCCAACCCCAUGUGAAACCAUAAGCCGCCGUAGCCCAGCCGUGAACAUACGUGGAGCCACUGCUGGCCAUCACUGAAAAGGGACCUCUGUUUUUGCUCCCCAAAACAGAGCAUCUACCACUCCAUUGUUAGCCACUACAACCAACCCACAACCUCUGGCCAGCCACCGUACCCCAGCCCUGUAACCACCGUGUAAGAAAGCCACCAUGUCACCUGCAGUCACACGGUGAGCCUCUGCUUUUCAAAAUAAAAAAAAUAGAGCAAUCCACAUACAGCAAACUCCGCUGCACUGCUUUUGCACCACCAUAGCAGGCUCACGGUGACCUUUUUUCUGCACGGUGUACGUAUUCUAUGCUUGUUGGGUAAAUACCAACUGUUCUGUUUCUGGUGCACCCACGUUGGAAACAAAAUGGUUUUUUGGUGGUCUUACCUGUGUACACACUCAGAGCUCCGAGAAUAAUAAGGGGAAGAUUCACAGUCUGUUUCUGUUCGGUUAGCUACCAGGGUCUGCACAACCCUAUCACAAGAAUUAAACAUGGCUUUUGAUGUGAUAUAAUGUUCUAGUAUGAAAGUAGUCAAUUAUGCCAUGCCAAGAGAAUUUUGAAUAAGAAUAUUUUUUUGAAUUUUCGCUCUGACAUUUUUGAUAAUGUGUUUCUACGUUCGCACAAUGAAAUGAAAAGUAAAAAUAUUUUGUUCUGCAUUCUGAACUCUGUAAAUGCUCAUGUUUGCACACUAGCAUAUGUUUUCUACUUACUGAGUUGUUAAUAACUCACCCCUUAUUUCCAUAACAUGUUUUAGAAGAUUUUGGAAUAAUUCAGCUGAAGAUCAGGAUUAUGAAGCAUGGGACUGGGGCAUUACAAAAUUUGUAAGGGAAGCUUUGCAUGUAGGGUAUCUAUUGUGGAGAUUUGAAGUGGAGAGAAGGUUGUGUGCAAACUAGGGUAGCAGAUUGUGGGAUUUGAAGACUAUGAAAUUGGUGAACCAAGAAUGGAAAGGAGAAGGCCGGAGUAAAGAAAUGAGGAGUGGAAAAUGGGUGAAAGGAUCACAACGGAAAAGUUGACACCGUGAGAGAACACUGAGAAGGGUGGAGCUUGCAAGUAAUGAAAAUGAAGUCUGUUGGUGCAAUGGGUCGAAGUGCAGAAGGGUGGUCGCGUGUCGAUGUGGGCAAACAUGGGGGGAAAUAAGUUAGGGGGAAAUGAAAGUAUUGAACUCAAGGUUUCAAACUUCGUGUAAUUAUACAUCUAUACAUUGAUUUUGAUGAUAACAAA